rnacentral:lncRNA from 10 species
CCUUGAGGCAUGGCCCUACUGAAAGACUACCAUCAUCUGUGUGCCUAGACUAGCAAUAUGUCACUAUCCAGAUGCAGAAAAAGUAUUUGGAAAAAUUUAACAUGCCUUUGUGAUUAAAACAACUGAACAAAUUACGUAUAGAAGGUCUGUGUCUCAACACAGUUAAGGCAAAAUAUGACAAAUCAAUAGCUGAUAUCACACUGAACAAGAAAAGAAGAAAGCUUUUUAUUUAAGACCUGGAACAAGACAAUGAUGUCUGCUUUUACUUUUAUUUAACAGAGUACUGGAAGUCCCAGCCAGAUUAUUUAUGCAAGAGAAAGAAAUAAAAGACAUCCAAAUAAAAAAGGAGAAAUUCCAAUUGUCUUUGCAGAUCACAUAAUUGUCUUUAUAGUAAAACUUAAAUACUACACUAAAAAUGGAGAACUAAUAAAGAAAUUCAGUAAAGUGGCAGAAUAUGAAAUUAACAUAAAAAAUUAGUAGGAGCACUUUUACAUGCCAAGAACAAGCCACCUGAAAAAGAAAUUCAAGAAAAAAAUUAUUUACAACAACUAUAAAUAAUAAAUCUUACUUCAUUUUAAGUUCAUGCUUGUGGUAAGGUUCAGCUUUAUUUUUUAUCAUUUGGAUAUUCAGUAUUCUCCAACCCGUUUGUUAAAGAGACUGUUCUUUUCUCAUUUUGAGUGAUAGAGACAGGAGAUAGCCAAAGGACCUUUUCCCACUUUGAGUGUUAGAGACAAGAGACAGUCAAGGGUCCUGGGCGAAACUCCUCUUUUAAGCCUAAAGCAGCCUGAAGGCUGAAAAAUUGGACUCCCGGUUUAGGAUGAAGCCAGCCCUUUCCUGACUGUUUCUCUCUGAAUAACGCCCACCUGUGCACUGGGAAAAGGAGGUGGAGCCAUGGAAAUUCACACCUUUUGGCAGGGGAGGAGCCUGGACUAUUCAGUUGCUAUGUGGUUACCUGGUGUUCAUCAAUCUGUGAGGUGGUGGCCUGUUAACAGGAGUCUGUCUCACUUUGCUGACAGUUUUUCUUUUCUUUUUCCUUUUUG